rnacentral:tRNA from 3 species
GCCCGGGUGGCGAAAUUGGCAGACGCGCCAGCCUUAGGAGCUGGUGACCGCAAGGUCUUGGGAGUUCGAGUCUCCCCUCGGGCA